CAGGUGGCUGUGUUUGUUCGAACCUAUCGGGGCCUAUCGAUAUAAGCAAAAGCAUUUUUGCUGGAUCUACCAUUUUAUUUUAGUUAAUAAAAUACAUAUAUUUCCUCUCUUUUUGUUCCGUUUGUGCGCGUACAAAACUAGCUGCGAAUUCGUGCAAUAUUUCAUAAACUGAACGGGCAAAUACGGAAAGCGCCGAAAGAAAACGAAAACGGAUCUGCGACGAAAUUUUCCCCGUUCCGUUUUUUUUCUCCACCAGCAGCAGCAGCAGCAGAGCAAGAGCAGCGAAUAUAUUUGUAAAAGAGAGCCCCAACCUUGAGGAAAACCAAGCAGCAGGGCAUUAAUUAGUUCGUGUUGUCGUCUGCUGUUUUUCAAGUGAACGCCCACAACUGUUUUUGAAGCGAAGCCCUUAGGCGGAGGAGCAGUUAGCCAGGAUGGACAAGAUGAGGAUAUUGAAGGAAAGUCGCCCCGAGAUAAUCGUCGGUGGCAAGUAUCGGGUGAUCAGGAAGAUUGGAAGCGGUUCGUUUGGCGACAUUUACCUGGGCAUGAGCAUCCAGAGCGGCGAAGAGGUGGCCAUCAAGAUGGAGAGCGCCCACGCCCGCCAUCCGCAGCUGUUGUACGAGGCCAAGCUGUAUCGCAUCCUGAGCGGCGGCGUGGGAUUCCCGCGCAUACGCCACCAUGGCAAGGAGAAGAACUUCAACACCCUGGUCAUGGACCUGCUGGGACCCUCGCUGGAGGAUCUAUUCAAUUUUUGUACGCGCCAUUUCACGAUCAAGACGGUGCUGAUGCUGGUCGACCAGAUGAUCGGACGCUUGGAGUACAUCCAUCUCAAGUGCUUCAUCCAUCGCGACAUCAAGCCGGACAACUUCCUCAUGGGCAUCGGUCGCCACUGCAACAAGCUCUUCCUGAUCGAUUUCGGUCUGGCCAAGAAGUUCCGCGAUCCGCACACGCGUCAUCACAUCCUAUACCGCGAGGACAAGAACCUCACCGGCACCGCCCGCUAUGCCUCGAUCAAUGCCCAUUUGGGCAUCGAGCAGUCGCGGCGUGACGACAUGGAAUCGCUUGGAUACGUGAUGAUGUACUUCAAUCGCGGUGUACUCCCCUGGCAAGGCAUGAAGGCCAACACCAAGCAGCAGAAGUACGAGAAGAUCUCCGAAAAGAAGAUGUCCACGCCCAUUGAGGUCCUAUGCAAGGGCUCGCCGGCCGAGUUCUCCAUGUAUCUGAACUAUUGUCGUAGCCUGCGCUUCGAGGAGCAGCCAGAUUACAUGUACCUUCGUCAAUUGUUCCGCAUACUGUUCAGGACGCUGAACCAUCAGUAUGACUACAUCUACGACUGGACAAUGCUGAAGCAGAAGACCCACCAGGGUCAACCCAAUCCAGCUAUACUCUUGGAGCAAUUGGACAAGGACAAGGAGAAGCAGAACGGCAAGCCCCUGAUCGCGGACUAAAAGCUGGAGCGCUUGCAGGCGAAUGGGGGGGAGCGCAUCAAAAGAGGAGAACAGAUUCGUGGAUGUAAAUGAGGAUGAUGUGGGCAAAAGGACCGGAGGAGCAGAGGAAAUAUGAAGCAUGAUGCAAACGCAACCGUACGAUUGAGCAGCAGCAGCGGGCGUUUGGAUGUUUCUUUAUAUUAAUUUAAAUUCAAUACUAAACAAAUAAGAACAACAGCAACAGCGCAGAAAAGUAAACAACACAUUAAUGAUAUCAAAUGAUACCCCAGCAGAUGUGAUUCACGAGUGAAUCACUGCGAUCGAUAGUAACACAAACCGAAAUUAUUGCAAAUCAAUUCGAUUCAAAUCAAUUCGCAAUCCACACACAAACAAACAAACAC
rnacentral:misc_RNA from 1 species